UGAGAUGGUGAUGAUAUUACCCUGCUUGC
rnacentral:piRNA from 1 species